GCUCGGCGCGGAGGGACUAUGGCUGAGGUGGGCCGGGCGGCGGUGCGCGACCCUGGGGAGCUGCUCCCGGGGGGCUUCUGGGAGGCGGUGGCCGUGUGGCUGGAGAAGCCGCAGGUGGCCAACAAGCGGCUGUGUGGCGUCCGCCUGGAGGCCCGGCGGAGGGCCGCCCUGCCCCGGGUGUCGCCCCGCGGCCGCAGGCCCAACGCGGGCCCCGAGCCGGAGGAGCCGGGAGCGGCCGGACGGGGUCCGCGCCCCCCCGAGGGGGGCCCGGGUCGCGGGCCCGAGGAGUCCCGGCACCGGCGCCAGCAAGGGGAGGGCCCCGGGGAAGCAGCCGCGGCGCCCCUGCUCGUAGAGGGCCCCGGGCAGCCCGACAAGGCAGGAGCCGGGGAGGGCGAUUUCUCCGCCUGGGAUCUGGAUUCUCUGUGGGACGAUUUCUCCCGAAGCCUCGCCGGCGGCAGCCACGAGUUGCUGGCCUUCCUCACCGGGGCCCGUGCGGGAUCGCAGCCAGAGGCGCCGAGCGAGCUCGACGUGGUUCUCAGAACCGUCAUCCCGAAAACAAGCCCGCUCUGCCCGCUUGCUGCUCCGAGGAGAGAAGUUGUCGUGCAAGAUGUCCUCAACGGAACCGUAACAUUUUUACCUUUGGAAGAAGAUGACAAAGGGAACGCAAAGGUUGAGACAAACAACGUGUAUCAACUCCGGCUCGGUCGGAGCAAAGAAGAAUGGUUCAUAUCUGUUUCAAUUUUCUGUCCAGAAAGAUGGCAUUCAGACGGAACUGUUUAUCCCAAACCCGCCUGGCUGGGGGAAGAGCUGCUGGCCAGGCUGGCCAGGUGGUCUGUGGGGAGCAAGAGAAGUGGGUUUAAAAGCACCCUGUGCCUCGUUUCCAUCAUCGAAUACAGCAAGACUUACCAGGCGCUUAAGGAGAAGCAUAAAGACAUGGUCAAGGUGUGGCCUGAAGUUACUGAUCCUGAAAAGUUUGUGUACGAAGAUGUGGCUAUUGCUGCCUACCUGCUGGUUCUGUGGGAAGAAGAAAGAGCUGAGCUGGGCCUGACAGCCAAGCAGUCCUUUGUUGACCUAGGAUGCGGAAAUGGGCUCCUGGUUCACAUCCUGAGCACCGAGGGGCACCCAGGCAGAGGGAUCGAUGUCCGAAGAAGAAAGAUCUGGGACGUGUAUGGACCGCAGACUUGCUUAGAGGAAGGUGCAAUCACACCCAGCGAUGAGACCCUUUUCCCUGACGUUGACUGGGUAAUUGGUAACCAUUCCGAUGAACUGACACCGUGGAUACCUGUGAUCGCAGCCAGGUCUAAUUACAGCUGCCGUUUCUUUGUCCUUCCCUGCUGCUUCUUUGACUUCGUGGGGAAAUACGCCCGGAGGCAGAGCAGGAAGACUCAGUACCGAGAGUAUCUCGAUUUCGUGACUGAGGUGGGGCUGGCCUGCGGGUUCCACGUCCAGGAGGACUGCCUGCGCAUUCCCUCCACCAAAAGGGUUUGUCUCAUUGGGAAACGCAGAACAUACCCCCCCACCGGAGAAGCCCUCAUGGAUGAGCAGAGAACCCGGUACAUUAAUAGCAGGCAGGGCCGCCCCGUGAGCCCGCCCGGCCGGGAGCCUCCCCAUCCUCCUCCCCGGGCCGCCGUGGCACGUGCGGGUCGCCCCCACGGGCGCCAGGCCCUGGACGCCGGGGCCACCGAGGAGGGGGCGGAGGCCCGGGCCGCCGGACUCUGGCUGUCUGGAUUUCACCCUAGAGAAAAAGCCGAGCGCGUGAGGAAUUGCGCUGCCCUCCCUCGAGACUUUGUUGACCGGGUGGUUUUGCAAGUGGGACACCUGCUGUUGGAUGCAGAGCGGCCGUGCGCAGGAAGUUCUCCGAGCGGGAGCUUGAAGGCCUGGAACCGAGGAGGUCAUCGGAGGAACUGGAGGAGCCCUCCCUCAGCCCGUCAGGGGGGCUGCUGCCUGGCUGGCCCCGUGGGUGGGGGGCCAGGGAGGAGGCGGCGAGCCCGGGCUCCCUCUCCCGUGACGUCCUGCCUGGUGUCUUCACCGUCCCGGCCUCCCUGGCUGUUGUGACCUUGCCACGCGGCAGCGCCCCGGAGCGCCUCCUCUGCUCUGUGGCUCACCCCACCCUGGUGGCGUCUGAUCAGAAGAGUCUCUCGAGGGAUGAGGUGGCCGUCCUGGCCAGAACCCCCCACCCCACUCCCCACUCCAGCUGCUGACCGUCCGUGAGCCGUGCACAAGCCCUGAGGGGCCGUGGGCCGUUGUGUGGGUUGGCACCUCACUUCCCGGUGCGCCCUGCUGAGGCGGGGGCAAGCUGGGCGGGGGGGCGGGUGCUUCUGGCCAGGCCUCGAAGGGCAGGGAGCCACAGCAGGGGGGCAGGGGCCACAGAGACACUCGGGCAAAUUUACCCUAACCCUAACCCUAACCCUGGCCUUCCCACCCCAGGAUAGUCCUGUCCUCUGCUGGGUCCUCUGGGCUUGAUUGAGCUCAGGAGGCGCUGGCCUGUGCCGGGGACGGACCUUUGCCGUGAGCACCCCGGCUCUGUCCCGGGCUCCAGGCUGGACGGCAGGCGGCUCUGGUCGUCGGGCCUCGGCUCACGGGCCUGCCCACCUGUUGGAAACACCGGCAGGGCUGGUGCGCCCCCCGCCGCCCCCCCCCCCCCCCCGCCCCUUGGGUCUCCGUGGUCUGGGGCUGGCCUGAGGUGGUCCCUCCGCCCCUGUGCCUGCCCCGUCUGCCCUGCGGGAGAAGCACGCUCCGCUGAGGUUGGACGUGUGCCCUUGGCCUCUCAGCCCGAGGUGGUCCCCUCGCCUGUCGGUGCUGGAAUUUAGCGACCUCUCCCGCCUCCGCCUGUGUGACGUACGAGUGGGUCAGACCCCUGGACCUGAGUGAUCUCGGUCUGGGGUCUGCCCUCUGCAGGGCAGGAGGGGGUGGUCCCUGCCCUCACGGUUGGGUCAAGGCGUGUGCACGUCUCAGGAUGAGCAACCCGGAGGCAGCGCGGAGCGGUGCGCGUGAGCAUCAGGGUCCGGGAGCGUGUGCAGGGCCGGGGCACAGGAGGGGCAGGAGGGCCGUCCCGGCCGAUUCCUGCUUGCUCUGAGUGGGUCUGAGGCGGCUGAGAGGGGCAUCUUGAAGGUCGGCUGGGCUUUGGUAGGUGGAAUCACAGCCACAGGGCGGCCGCCUCCCCUGGGUGCCCGGGGCUGGGCUGGGCCGAGCCGGAGCGCUGGUUUUCUGUGGGGGAGGCUCCUGCAGAGUCGUUGGGUGGGAGUAGGCGAGCCCCGGGGUGUCGGGCCUGGCGGGUGGGCGGCCCCCGCAUCUCCGGUGGCGAUGGCUCUGCCCGCGGUCCCUCCCGCCGACGUGCGCCAGGGGCUGGAGCGGACGGAACCAGAGCAGGGCCAGCGGUGAGCCGGUUUCACGGCUCCUGACAGCCUUUCUGUUGGUGUCGGGGAAACCCGCUUUUCAACAGGAAGCCUCUCCUUGGCGGACGUAGCCAGUGAGCUGGACGGGGAGACCCUGCGGAGGCUGAAGCGGGAAUGUGGAGGCUUGCAGACGCUGCUCAAAAACAACCAUCAGGUGUUUGAAGUUCGGAGCGGGCGAGUUCACCUUCGCGACUGGA